rnacentral:rRNA from 1 species
GUGAACGCUGGCGGUAGGCCUAACACAUGCAAGUCGAACGGCAGCACAGUAAGAGCUUGCUCUUACGGGUGGCGAGUGGCGGACGGGUGGGGAAUACAUCGGAAUCUACUUUUUCGUGGGGGAUAACGUAGGGAAACUUACGCUAAUACCGCAUACGACCUACGGGUGAAAGCAGGGGAUCUUCGGACCUUGCGCGAUUGAAUGAGCCGAUGUCGGAUUAGCUAGUUGGCGGGGUAAAGGCCCACCAAGGCGACGAUCCGUAGCUGGUCUGAGAGGAUGAUCAGCCACACUGGAACUGAGACACGGUCCAGACUCCUACGGGAGGCAGCAGUGGGGAAUAUUGGACAAAGGGCGCAAGCCUGAUCCAGCCAUACCGCGUGGGUGAAGAAGGCCUUCGGGUUGUAAAGCCCUUUUGUUGGGAAAGAAAAGCAGCAGGUUAAUACCCCGCUGUUCUGACGGUACCCAAAGAAUAAGCACCGGCUAACUUCGUG